GGGCAGCUGGCCUGGAAGGGCUGGGCCGCUGAGGCCUGCACCUCCGCUCUCCCCACCCGCAACCGCUCUCCCGGCCCGGGACGGGCUGGGGAGGGGCGAAACCAGUUCUGUCGGCCUACCAGAGGAUUUGGCGCAGCAGGGCCGGGCGAUACUCGGGACGGCUCUGUGAAAACACCCCCGUCUGCCUGGCACGUCCCAGCGCCUCCAUACUGUGCACUGUCUGCAUUGCUAAUAAGGACCUCUAAGGAACUAGGUGGUGCUAGUCUUCCCUCUUGAAACCUUUGUAACUAUUAAGGCUGAAGCUCCAUUUAAAGGAAAAAGAAGGCAAAGAAAUGAGCUAUAGGAAGCCAUGGUGAGUCAUCUGUCAAUAGAGAGGCUUUGGGAGGAUUUCAUCACGGAGCGUGUUUGCAGAGAGUCCUGGUUGCUGGUCCAGAUAGGCAGGGCACCGUGUCUUGAGAAUUGUUGCACACCACAGCACCAUUUAUUUUUGUAUAUGUUACUAAAGUAUCUGCUGUCCUUUUCAUCUUUGCUGUGCUGUUUCAGCAACCUUGACAUAAACUCUUUCUAUUCACUGGCUUCCACAAGAAAACUAAUCAGACUGAUAUUCUUAAAGAUUUACUAAAGGUCUGUGGUGGCAUAAUGAGGGGUUACAUCCCACACCGUAUAAACGCUCACCUUACAACCCCGUUGAACAUCUUGUAGCCUUACAUCUUAACAGCAUCCCUGUCCCUGGUCCCCAGACACCAGGAUCCACCUAUGAAGAUACACUCCAAAGAGAGAAUUGAAAUAGAAUUUAUUUUUAAAAUUCGGCGAAGUAUUUAAGGAUAUAGUUCUGAGCAAGACUUGAAAUCCUUAUGAAUGUUCUAUGCCUUUAUAUUCUUAAUUUAUUCUAAAGAUUUCAUGAAACAUGAAGAUGGUCAUCAUUCUUUGACUUUUCAUUGUUUUUUCCUAAUUUCUUCUUUCUUCUGAAACAUAAAUGUAUCUUUGAGGUAAAUGACUGGCGUAUUAAAGUUACAUCAAACAACUAUCAAGAUUAAAUUAAGUAGAAUGCGCUUUCUUUGGAAAAUUGAUUAAAUCCACUUUCCCUAGUGAAAGAUAUAAAUAGAAAUGAUUUCAAAUCAAAUUCACCCCAGAUGAAGGCUCUACUAUUGAAACUAGGAAUAUCUUUUUAAAUAAACAAUUUCUUUUCAGGAAAAAAAAAACUGAUUGAUAAACAUAUACGAUAUUCAAGCUUAGUUAUAAUUGAAGAAAUUGAAAACUUCUAAAAUCGAGAAGUGAA